UGCUAGUUCGGUGCCCGUGAUUUGAGAGC
rnacentral:piRNA from 1 species